UCCGCUCCAUACCGGCGCCACCGCUGCUCCGUCCCCGACCGCCGUGCUGUCCGCGCGCCGCUGUGCCGUCCCUGGCUGCCACGCCGUCCGCAGGCUGCCGCGGCUCCGAUCUGUCAAGUGCCCCGCCGGAUCGGGUUACAGGACGCCUCCCUCGACCCCGACGCACCACCGCUCGCCGCCGGCCGCCACCGCCGAGGUUAGUCUCCUACUCACCCUCUAGGCCUCAUCUCGCCUUGGUGCACCUGCUGCCGCCGUGGAUGAGCGCGCCGCAGCUUCGGACGUGCUGCAGCAAAUCCCGUCGCUCGCCGCAGAUCGAGCGGACACGCACGCCACGGACACCCCCGAUGAGUGGGGCUCUCGCUGCCCCACCACCGUGCCACAAACCCAAAGACACGAAGUGGAGAUCCGUCCUCCAAGAUGCAGGCGCCUCCGGCCUCCCCCGUGCUCCAUGGCUCUCCGUGCGAGAUCCAUGGCCCGCCGCGCCAACGACCAAGAAUCGUGCUGUCGAUCGACCGUCGAUUGUCCGGACCACUAACUUCCACCUCAAUCGUUGGCUUCUGGCAGAUCCUCGUAGACAUCUAGAAGCAGAUCCUACAGCUACACUGCAUUACUCAACGUUGAAGGAACUGAGCAUCGACAGCCUUAAGUUCAUGGCAUUUGUCCUCGGCUGUCACAUUGCCCACCCACACGCUUAGGAUUUCUGCUCCGCUUCAAGGUUGCCGCUUCUUACUCCUGAUCUCCUGCUAUUCGUGUCAUUGUGAUUAUUUGUUAGAGUGCUUCCCUAUGGCCUAUACAGUUUGGUUUUUGUUUAGCGUUGGACAUGGGAUUGAGGCAAAGAUGUUAUUAGGAUUUUAUUUAGAUAUAAGUAUAGUCUGAAAGCUCAAGAGAAAAUUGCAACUCUAUUCCAUUCAGUAAAUCCUACUAAUUCAGUAGUCCUAAUGGCAGUUUUUAUAUCAUGUAGGUGUCCCUUUCUGUCUAAACCAUAAGAAAUAUCAAUGCAAUGCCAUGAUAUGCAGACAGCAUGUGCAUGCUAUGAAAUAUCAAUUCACUGUGAAGGGGAGGAGCGCAUGUGCAUGGUCAGCCUGUGUGCAGUUGGUCAAUAUAGCAUGACUAAAAUGUGGUUCUGAAAAAACUUGUCAUUAAUCUCCAAAAUGCCCCUCCUAUGGCGGUUCUGAAAAUGUGGCAACUUGUCAUUCUGAAUUUCAUCAGAAAAUUCAGAUGCCUCAAGUUGGUUCUGGAAGCAAUAGACUGAAAGGAUCCAAUCAAUUGGUUCUUGACCAAUAGCACUACUGUGACACACAUACUUUAAUUUACCACGAGCAUGCAAUCUAAUAGUGCAGAUCCUGUUUUAUAAACAAUAAUUUCUUCUAUAGUUAACUGAAUAAAUGAUUCUGAACAAAUGCUUGCUUCAGUAUCCAAGCAAGAUAUAUUAGUCAAACCUAAAGUGGUUUCUGAUCCAUUUCUGGUGAUCCAGUUGAUGGUUGUCAAAACUGUUAUGCCUCUGAAAGUCUGAAGCUUUUAAGGCCUCUGGAUUUUAUUGUGUUAUGUUCAUAACUAUAAUAAUUGUUAGGGCUCUUAGCAUUAAAAUGGACAUCACUAUCCACUAUCCAGUGAAAUGUGUGAUUGAUUCAUGGAAGUGUGAAUCUUUCUGAUGUCGUGUCUGUUGUGCAUCUCCACUAAUUUAUCAUGAAACUCGCUUUUUUGCCGAGUGUAUUUUUUUGACACUCGGCAAACAAGCCCUUUGCCGAGUGUCUUUUGAGAAGCAGUCGGCAAAUAAGAUUUUUGCCGAGUGCCCGAAAGAAAACACUCGGCAAAAGAGUUUAGCACUCGGCAAAGAGCCGGUUUCUGUAGCGAGAGGUUGGUGUGGGAGCAGGAUCUCACACAAUAACCAUGCACCCAAAAGGCUGCAACGGUAGUCAUUCAGUUGGCAAAAAAAAAAAAAAAAUCGUGCGAGGCCAACUUAAUUAAACAGCAGUACACCGACACAGUCAUUCACCGUUCAUGUGUGAAGUUUGAGGAAAGAUGAUUAUUAAUAUCACCAUUUUAUUUUAUCAUUUUUUCUUUCUCUUACUUUUCGUUUUUCUAUUUUCAUUUCUUCCCUAUCUGUUCCCUGUUCUCACGAGCCCCAGAAUGCUCGGCUCGGCAGCGCCUAGAGUUUCUUUCACCGGCGGCGAUCCCGGCAGUCGCGCCAGCGAGGCGGCGCCUCCGCGCCCGACGCGCAACGCCUUGGCAGAAUGACGGCCGUAUGGGCAGCGGAUGCCUCCGUGGUGAUAGCCUGGCCCCGCCCGUCGCUCGCCCUACGACCGUCCACUGGGAUGAGGUAUGAAUGGCGGUUGUCCCCUACAGCUCCUGCUCGUCGGUGGGUACUCAUCCGUCCGCCGGAUCGAGACCCCGCCCCUGACCGUGAAACAAUUGGAGAGCAUCCCUUCGGACCAGCAGAAUCUAAUUUUUGCCGGCAAGCAGUUGGAAUGGAGGAUGGCCGCACCCUUGCCGACUACAAGUUUACAACAUCCAAAAGGUGUCCACCUCAUCUGGUGCUCCAGCUCCGUGGUGGUCAGUAAGCCAUCAGUCGUUGAAGCUGCUGAUGUGCCUGAAUC